GCUAAACAACACUGUUCAUGACCUUCUAUACGGGAUCAGUUUAUGGCCGGAGUUGUUUAUAAAUGGCCAGACAGUCAAGUUUCGAUUGGCCUCUGGUGGGCAGGAUAACAGACUGAGGAUAUGGAUUAUUUCCCAGCAUGCAGCAGCAGGAAGGAAGUCACUGGGUUACUCCAGAACGCUGGUCAGUGAUUGGUCAGUGGUGGACACGUUUAGGACCCACAACAUCGACGGGGCCGAGCUCAUCAACUUAAACACAGAGACCCUGAGCACCGAGUUUAAGAUCGGUGAGGAAACACACUCAACCCUGUUUUACACAGUGCUUUACUAUGAGUUAAAAAGCGAG